UACGGGGGGGGCAAGCGUUGUUCGGAAUUACUGGGCGUAAAGGGCUUGUAGGCGGCCAACUAAGUCCGACGUGAAAUCCCCAGGCUUAACCUGGGAACUGCGUCGGAUACUGGAUGGCUUGAAUUCGGGAGAGGGAUGCAGAAUUCCAGGUGUAGCGGUGAAAUGCGUAGAUAUUCGCAAGAACACCAGUGGCGAAGGCGGCUCACUGGCCCGAUACUGACGCUGAGGCACGAAAGCGUGGGGAGCAAACAGG
rnacentral:rRNA from 1 species